rnacentral:rRNA from 1 species
CCUACGGGAGGCAGCAGUGGGGAAUUUUCCGCAAUGGGCGAAAGCCUGACGGAGCAAUACCGCGUGAGGGAAGAAUGCCUACGGGUUGUAAACCUCUUUUAUCAGGGAGGAACAAAAUGACGUGUACCUGAUGAAUAAGCAUCGGCUAACUCUGUGCCAGCAGCCGCGGUAAGACAGAGGAUGCAAGUGUUAUCCGGAAUUACUGGGCGUAAAGCGUCUGUAGGUUGUUGAACAAGUCAACUGUUAAAUCUUGAAGCUCAACUUCAAAAUCGCAGUCGAAACUGUUUGACUAGAGUAUAGUAGAGGUAAAGGGAAUUUCCAGUGGAGCGGUGAAAUGCGUAGAUAUUGGAAAGAACACCGAUGGCGAAAGCACUUUACUGGGCUAUUACUGACACUCAGAGACGACAGCUAGGGUAGCAAAUGGGAUUAGAUACCCCAGUAGUCCUAGCCGUAAACUAUGGAUACUAGAUGUUGAACAGAUCGACCUGUGCAGUAUUAAAAGCUAACGCGUUAAGUAUCCCGCCUGGGAAGUAUGCUCGCAAGAGUGAAACUCAAAGGAAUUGACGG